AUUGAACGCUGGCGGCAGGCCUAACACAUGCAAGUCGAACGGUAACAGGAAGAAGCUUGCUUCUUUGCUGACGAGUGGCGGACGGGUGAGUAAUGUCUGGGAAACUGCCUGAUGGAGGGGGAUAACUACUGGAAACGGUAGCUAAUACCGCAUAACGUCGCAAGACCAAGAGGGGGACCUUCGGGCCUCUUGCCAUCGGAUGUGCCCAGAUGGGAUUAGCUAGUAGGUGGGGUAACGGCUCACCUAGGCGACGAUCCCUAGCUGGUCUGAGAGGAUGACCAGCCACACUGGAACUGAGACACGGUCCAGACUCCUACGGGAGGCAGCAGUGGGGAAUAUUGAACAAUGGGCGCAAGCCUGAUGCAGCCAUGCCGCGUGUAUGAAGAAGGCCUUCGGGUUGUAAAGUACUUUCAGCGGGGAGGAAGGGAGUAAAGUUAAUACCUUUGCUCAUUGACGUUACCCGCAGAAGAAGCACCGGCUAACUCCGUG
rnacentral:rRNA from 1 species